UACGGGGGGAGCAAGCGUUGUUCGGAUUUACUGGGCGUAAAGGGCGCGUAGGCGGCUGUGCAAGUCAGGUGUGAAAGCCCUGGGCUCAACCCAGGAUGUGCACUUGAUACUGCACGGCUAGAGUGUCGGAGAGGAUGGUGGAAUUCCCAGUGUAGAGGUGAAAUUCGUAGAUAUUGGGAAGAACACCGGUGGCGAAGGCGACCAUCUGGACGACAACUGACGCUGAGGCGCGAAAGCUAGGGGAGCAAACGGG
rnacentral:rRNA from 1 species